CGGGAAUUCGAUUAGUUUGAUCAUGGCUCAGGACGAACGCUGGCGGCGUGCUUAACACAUGCAAGUCGAGCGGAAAGGCCCCUUCGGGGGUACUCGAGCGGCGAACGGGUGAGUAACACGUGGGUAAUCUGCCCAAGACACAGGAAUAACCAGUGGAAACGCUGGCUAAUGCCUGAUGAUGUGCCGGCCUUUCGGGGCUUGUACCAAAGGUAGCUUCGGCCUCCGGUCUUGGAUGAGCCCGCGUCCCAUUAGCUUGUUGGUGAGGUAACGGCUCACCAAGGCGACGAUGGGUAGCUGGUCUGAGAGGACGAUCAGCCACACUGGGACUGAGACACGGCCCAGACUCCUACGGGAGGCAGCAGUGGGGAAUCUUGCGCAAUGGGCGAAAGCCUGACGCAGCAACGCCGCGUGCGGGAAGAAGGUCUUAGGGUUGUAAACCGCUUUCAGCAGGGACGAAGGCAAUCGGGUUAAUAGCCCGUGAGUUGACGGUACCUGCAGAAGAAGGUCCGGCUAACUACGUGCCAGCAGCCGCGGUAAUACGUAGGGACCAAGCGUUGUCCGGAAUCAUUGGGCGUAAAGAGCGUGUAGGCGGCUUGUUAAGUCUUGUGUGAAAUCUCGGGGCUCAACCCCGAGCGGUC
rnacentral:rRNA from 1 species